rnacentral:rRNA from 1 species
UACGGAGGAUGCGAGCGUUAUCCGGAUUUAUUGGGUUUAAAGGGUGCGUAGGCGGACAAAUAAGUCAGUGGUGAAAACCUGCAGCUUAACUGUAGAAUUGCCAUUGAUACUGUUAGUCUUGAGUAUGGUCAAGGUAGGCGGAAUGUGUAAUGUAGCGGUGAAAUGCUUAGAUAUUACACAGAACACCGAUUGCGAAGGCAGCUUACUGGACCAUUACUGACGCUGAUGCACGAAAGCGUGGGGAUCGAACAGGAUUAGAUACCCUGGUAGUCCACGCCGUAAACGAUGAUCACUCGCUGUUAGCGAUACACAGUUAGCGGCUAAGCAAAAGCAUUAAGUGAUCCACCUGGGGAGUACGGCCGCAAGGCUGAA